ACGGGAACUGAAGCUGUCGAUUAAGCCUGAUCAAGAUGACAACCUCCCAAAAGCACCAAGACUUCGUGUCAGAGCCCAUGGGGGAAAAGCCAGUGUGGAGCCUGGCUGGGAUUGGUGAAGUCCUGGGCAAGAAGCUGGAGGAAAGGGGCUUUGACAAGACCUAUGUUGUCCUUGGCCAGUUUUUGGUGCUAAAGAAAGAUGAAGACCUCUUCUGCGAAUGGCUGAAGGACACUUGUGGCGCCAACGCCAAGCAGUCUUUGGAUGCCUUCGAGAGUGGUGCGACGCCUUCUUGUGAUGCUCUCUGGGAAGCUCUCAAUCCCCAGCCCUCAUCCAGAGUUUGCAGCAGAGUAGGGACUCCUCCCCUGUCCGCUGCAAAGGAAAAGAUUGCUAUUGUCGUACCCGCCUCCGACAUACUCCACGGUCUUUGGAAGUUUUCUCCCCUAACCAUUUCAACUUUUUUGGAUUCUUGCUCUUGCAUGCCUCCCUCUUCCUUUUUCCCUUGCCAGUUCCCUGGUGACAGUUACUGGCUUUCCUGAAUGGAUUCCUGGCC